rnacentral:rRNA from 2 species
UUAAAUUGAAGAGUUUGAUCAUGGCUCAGAUUGAACGCUGGCGGCAGGCCUAACACAUGCAAGUCGAACGGUAGCACAGAGAGCUUGCUCUCGGGUGACGAGUGGCGGACGGGUGAGUAAUGUCUGGGAAACUGCCUGAUGGAGGGGGAUAACUACUGGAAACGGUAGCUAAUACCGCAUAACGUCGCAAGACCAAAGAGGGGGACCUUCGGGCCUCUUGCCAUCAGAUGUGCCCAGAUGGGAUUAGCUAGUAGGUGGGGUAACGGCUCACCUAGGCGACGAUCCCUAGCUGGUCUGAGAGGAUGACCAGCCACACUGGAACUGAGACACGGUCCAGACUCCUACGGGAGGCAGCAGUGGGGAAUAUUGCACAAUGGGCGCAAGCCUGAUGCAGCCAUGCCGCGUGUAUGAAGAAGGCCUUCGGGUUGUAAAGUACUUUCAGCGGGGAGGAAGGUGUUGUGGUUAAUAACCACAGCAAUUGACGUUACCCGCAGAAGAAGCACCGGCUAACUCCGUGCCAGCAGCCGCGGUAAUACGGAGGGUGCAAGCGUUAAUCGGAAUUACUGGGCGUAAAGCGCACGCAGGCGGUCUGUCAAGUCGGAUGUGAAAUCCCCGGGCUCAACCUGGGAACUGCAUUCGAAACUGGCAGGCUAGAGUCUUGUAGAGGGGGGUAGAAUUCCAGGUGUAGCGGUGAAAUGCGUAGAGAUCUGGAGGAAUACCGGUGGCGAAGGCGGCCCCCUGGACAAAGACUGACGCUCAGGUGCGAAAGCGUGGGGAGCAAACAGGAUUAGAUACCCUGGUAGUCCACGCCGUAAACGAUGUCGAUUUGGAGGUUGUGCCCUUGAGGCGUGGCUUCCGGAGCUAACGCGUUAAAUCGACCGCCUGGGGAGUACGGCCGCAAGGUUAAAACUCAAAUGAAUUGACGGGGGCCCGCACAAGCGGUGGAGCAUGUGGUUUAAUUCGAUGCAACGCGAAGAACCUUACCUGGUCUUGACAUCCACAGAACUUUCCAGAGAUGGAUUGGUGCCUUCGGGAACUGUGAGACAGGUGCUGCAUGGCUGUCGUCAGCUCGUGUUGUGAAAUGUUGGGUUAAGUCCCGCAACGAGCGCAACCCUUAUCCUUUGUUGCCAGCGGUUAGGCCGGGAACUCAAAGGAGACUGCCAGUGAUAAACUGGAGGAAGGUGGGGAUGACGUCAAGUCAUCAUGGCCCUUACGACCAGGGCUACACACGUGCUACAAUGGCGCAUACAAAGAGAAGCGACCUCGCGAGAGCAAGCGGACCUCAUAAAGUGCGUCGUAGUCCGGAUUGGAGUCUGCAACUCGACUCCAUGAAGUCGGAAUCGCUAGUAAUCGUAGAUCAGAAUGCUACGGUGAAUACGUUCCCGGGCCUUGUACACACCGCCCGUCACACCAUGGGAGUGGGUUGCAAAAGAAGUAGGUAGCUUAACCUUCGGGAGGGCGCUUACCACUUUGUGAUUCAUGACUGGGGUGAAGUCGUAACAAGGUAACCGUAGGGGAACCUGCGGUUGGAUCACCUCCUUACCUUAAAGAA